AGGUGUGUCAUAGGCUAUACCAUUCAGGUUUGUGUAAAUCCACUCUAUGAUUUUUGCAUUAUGAUGAAAUUGCCUAACAACGCAUUUCUCAGAACAUAUCCCCAUCGUUAAGCAACACGUGACUGUACAUCUGUGAUCUUUCUCAGUGAAAUUUCAGAUCUCCCAACAGGCUUCAUAGCCCUGAUCUCUUCCUUCAAGUUGCUCCUGAUUCAAGCUGAUAAUUUUGCUCUCUUUAAUCCAGUGAAACUAAAUAAGUUCUUGACACUUCAAAAAGAAUUACGAGAAGAAAAAUUCUCUCUCCAGACAAGUACAGAAACAAGAACAAGGAAAACACUGGAACUCUCAGGUGAGCAUGGAUGAAAGAAGGUAGAACCUAAACCAGGCCUGGAUCUGCAGAAGUAUUAAAGAUGGGCCCCAAAGGCUUGUGAAUUCAGCAUUAUGAUUUCAAGCUGACCUACAGAACUUUGUGUAUCACCUAAAACAUUGGCAAGGGUGGUUGAGAAGAAAGCUCUCCAAUACUUGAAAUUAUUCUCAAGUCACUUGCAAAUAAUUUGCUUACUGGGAGGAAGGAAACAGCGGAACACUUCUGAGAGGUCUGGUGUGUUCCAAUCACCUCAGAGAGAGAAACCACAGGGCCAAAAAUAAAUGAAUAAAUAAAAAUGCCCAGGAGUUAGAGCAAGUACACAUCUUUUUUGUUAAAUUUUCUUUCAUGAUGACGCAAAACAAGGACUAAAAAUGUUUGCAAGAAACCACAAGGUGAUCUGAUCAGAGCUUAGCUAAAAUUACAAAUCUGACAAUGAAUAAAAUUCCCUGCUUAAUAAAUAAUUCUAGAAAUAAGCUGAUAAUAAUCGCCAAAGCUCGGUAGCCAUUGAAAAUGGGCAACAGUAAUAACUCAUACACCUCGAUCUAUCUUUAAGUUCCAUUAUUCAAGAAAGAAACUAGUAUUCCCACUUUAUUUUUUUUCUGAAUAAAUCUAGAAAACACUUUAUAGAUAAGAAUACGUCCACUCUUGCAAAAGAUGCCAGUGGCAAGCUUCAGUGUGGAACAGACAAGUAUCCAUAGUGUCAGAAGACAGAGUUGCCACUGAUUUAUUAGCAAAUUGAACCUUUGCUUUAAGAGAAAAGAAUUUCUCAAAAUCUGUAUCUGAUAAAUUAACCCAGUCCUUCACGAACACCAUUUCAAAAAGACACUGCCAACCUUAAGUUUGAAUGAUUCAUUGUACUGUAAAUAUUUGAGGUGAUUAUGUCUGGCAGCAAGUGUCUGAAACAAGAACCCUCUUGCAACACAACCUAAAAAUCAACGGACAAUGUAUGAGACAGUUAGGGUGCAGUAAUGAAGCUGACCUCAGACUAUUUCCAUCAAUACAAACACUGACAGCAAGUUUGUUUACCAAGUUUUCAGGGCCAACAACUUACAAUUCAAACCUGGGAUCAAUUUAUGGACUCUGCUGUUGUUAAUGACCACGCAGGGAGAGUAAUACCAGAAAACUGACAGCAUCCUCAGGAUGAACAGAUCAUCUCCCAGAAUGUGAAAAUGAGAUAAGUCAAUUCCACCGCCUUGUCUGCACCUUGAGAAUUAAACAGCAACUACCAACUGAUAUCAGAAAUUACUCUCAUUGGAGGUUGAACACCUGAUUCUCCUUUGCCACAUCAAGCAGAGACUGACAGAUAAAAGAAUGACAGGAAAAUUCAUUCCGUCCACAUUUCCUGCACUAUGGAAAACCGCACGGAUACAGAGCAAACCAUCAAAGAAGUGAAACUAAGAAAACAAAGGUUUCUGCUGGUUUAAUAGCCAAAUCACUCAAGACACUUGAAGCAAAACAAGGAACAAUCUACUUAAAACUGUAAGAUCCAGGAACGCUAAAUAGUUUUAGACUUCAGCAAGUAUCAUCCUUAGAGAUGGUACAUGUGACAAGAAUAAGCUUAAUUUGCAUUUGAAAAUAGAGUAAAACAAACCAAGUCUCCCUUUAAAGGGAAAUGGUAGCAAAAUAGAGAAGAAAAAGAAAAGGACUUUACAUGUAUUCCCAAGGAAAAUCACAGACUCUUUAAAAGCUCUCACAAUAGGCUGGCCCUUUUAAAAACUCUGUCAUAUCUUAAAACAAAAGUCUUAUUAUCAUCUCCUAAUUUAUGCAAUGUAUUAACUUUUGCUUCUUUAAUCUAUUUUAAAGUUGUCUUCCUGCAUGAUUCCUCUAUAACAUUUUAACAGUAUACCUGCAUCGUGUCAAAAUUUAUCUGUACCUAGUAUUAGUUUAGAUAAAUAAACAUGUAGAUAGCUACAGGCAACUGAAGCUAUGUUGAAAGGGAUCCAAUGCUAUCCAUGCCCAGGGAGCAUACAGCUCUAUUUCAGAAAUGUACAAAAGGAGAAUAUUCAAUGCGAAAGGAAAUAUAUAAAACAGAAUAAGUGAAAAGGUAACCAGCAGUUACAUUCUCUGAAGUACAGUAAGAUAUGCUUCUAUAGUUUGGACCAUACAAGGUGAGAGCAUGUUAAUGACUAAUUAGGCUCCUGUAUUAGCUAAUAGACAAGAAGAAUAAAGCUUCAAGACCAUAUCACGAAAAUCACUCUGUCAUACUGACAUUCAUUCCAAGUGUCGCUACAGCAUCGAUUUUCUUAGAAGCUUUAUGAUUCAGCUGCCUUUGAACCACAGAGUGAUGCCCACCUGCAUCAGCGGCUAAGUACAGCUGUAGAACAGACAGACGUGGCCGACUUUAAAAAUUACCUUUUUCCCCCAUGACUUGCUUAGAAAAUAUGCACAGUGCAAAAAGUUUAUAAAAAUUGGGUUGGAAUUUUAGAGUCUCUAACAGAGUUUCUUAGGAAUUUUUGAAAUAUAGAUUUUAUUAAAAUCCCCUGUUUUCUUUAAAAAGCAAUAUUAACCCAAACAGCUGAUCCUUAUUCUGGUUCUUUUGCACCUGAAUUUUUAAGUUAAUCACCCUUAAUUACCUUUCAUAGCAAGAGCCAAUAGCAAAGGACUGAAAGAAACAGGUUGGAAGCUCAGUAGAUCCCAAGGUUUCCCUAAGAGCUCCUGGAAAAAAAAAAUUGCAACUAAUCUUCAUCUGUGUAGAGAAACACAAAUCCCAGGGUCACUGCCACUAAAUCGGCAGACCAAUGUGAUGAGCACUGCCGUCAAUAUGGCUAUUCUACCUUGACUUUUGAAUGUCAAAAAUAAUAUGGACAGAAUUGACUAAGCAGUCUCCGAGGUACUGCCUUUAAAAUUUUUAACUUUAUGGCCAUUAAAUAUUGAACAGAUAAUUGGAUUUAUCCCCUUCAGUGCUUUAUGGAUGUACAAAGUACCUACCUUCUCCUGUUUUAUUCAAAUUAAUGGUGCUCUUUUAAAGUGUCUGCCCUGAGUGCACACUAUAGCCGACUCAUUAAAAGGAUGCUUCAUCCUCUGCUUACCAACUCUUUUCUCCAUUUGCAGUGAGAGGGCAAAAACCACACUCAAACCCACAUUGACAGUCAAGGGCAAAUCCAUUGAGAGUCACCCUUAAACCUAGACUUUUCCCUCCCAAAACUCAAGUACACAGUGUGAUUUGGCAGUCGAUUGGCUGUUAUCACAGAAAACCACAACACAGAAUCCAUUUAUUCUGUUUUUUAAUUAAAACAUUUACAAAUGCUUCUUUGCAACUGGGUAGCUUACUGCUACAUUUUAAAAUCAAGUCUGAAGAACAUAGGGAUGCCAGUACCUCUCUAGAGGAUUAGCCAAAUGAAACCCUGGAUUGUGUAUUGGACAGGGAAAAAAUAUAUACUCAUGGAAAGGCUGUGCAAUUCACACUUGUGAUAAGGAAUUUCUAUCAAGUAUGACUAACACCUAAAAACGUACAGUCUGAAAAUAACUCUGGUGGAGGUGUUAGUGGAAAGGGGUUAAUGGAAAUAAUGUUUUCAUUUUAAACAAUAUAAAUCCACAACUGGCAUUCCAUUGGCCCGUGACCUCCCCUUACCCAAUCCUUGUUCAAGUCAUUUGCUAGUAUAAUUGAAACCUUCUUUGAGAGUCUUUAGAUUCCAUUUCAUGUUUUGGAGACAAUGCAGCUAAAAGACAUUUACCAUCCAUCUUUCUUAACGUUCCUAAUCUAAAUAGAAGACUCAAAUCUAAGACUGUGCUUUUGAUGGAUCACUCGCCUCCCUAUACAGUAGAGCUUAAAGAGAUCCUAUUAUUGCUUUCAGAACCCUUACAGAAAACAUACAUUCAUACUCAUUUUAGUUUUUACCACCUAGCCACCUAG